UACGAAGGGGGCUAGCGUUGUUCGGAUUUACUGGGCGUAAAGCGCACGUAGGCGGAUCGAUCAGUCAGGGGUGAAAUCCCAGGGCUCAACCCUGGAACUGCCUCUGAUACUGUCGAUCUGGAGUAUGGAAGAGGUGAGUGGAAUUCCGAGUGUAGAGGUGAAAUUCGUAGAUAUUCGGAGGAACACCAGUGGCGAAGGCGGCUCACUGGUCCAUUACUGACGCUGAGGUGCGAAAGCGUGGGGAGCAAACAGG
rnacentral:rRNA from 1 species